UACAGAGGUCCCAAGCGUUGUUCGGAUUUACUGGGCGUAAAGGGUGCGUAGGUGGCCGGGAAAGUCUGAUGUGAAAUCUCCGAGCUUAACUUGGAAAUGGCAUUGGAAACUAUCUGGCUUGAGGGCCGGAGGGGAGACUGGAAUUCUCGGUGUAGCAGUGAAAUGCGUAGAUAUCGAGAGGAACACCAGUGGCGAAGGCGACUACCUGGCCUGUUCUUGACGCUGAGGCGCGAAAGCUAGGGGAGCAAACGGG
rnacentral:rRNA from 1 species